rnacentral:pre_miRNA from 9 species
ACUCGAUAGCGUAAAAGUUAAUUCAUAUUUGUAUGGAAUGGGGUCGUUUGCGUACGUUUGUCGCUAGGGGCGCUGUUCCAAUUGCAUACAAAAAUGGCCUAACUUUUACGCUAUCGA